rnacentral:piRNA from 1 species
CACUGUUGAACCCUAGAGCCUUGAGUG